AUGGAAAAGUACCAACAACAAUUAGCAACACUCAUGGUGGAGCUAGAGGAGCCAGUUGGUCUCUGUGACUUGCCAGCAAUUGACCCUCCUAAUACUAAGAGAAAGAAGGGGAGGGCAAUAAAGGAUUUUUCAGAGUGGAUAGAGAAAGAGCCUCCCGUGAAUUGGUCUUUGUUGCAUGACACCCAUGGAGCUAGGUAUGGCCACAUGACAACCAACCUUGCAGAGGUGUAUAACUUUGUACUCAGAGGGAAUAGAGCAUUGCCACUCACAGCUAUUGUGGAGGCUGUAUUCCAUGGCACUUUGAGAUAUUUCAGAGACCGACACGAGUUAGCAAAGAAGCAUAUUAUAGAUAAUCAGAACACACCUUACUGUAGCUGUGUCAUGGAGUAUAUGGCAGAGAAGAUAGAGAAAGCAAAGAAGCACACUGUGAGACUCGUAGGUAAUCAGGAAAGGAGGUAUGAGGUUCAGCUACCUACCGAUGGUUUUGGUUCUGCGAAUGAGGUGAAGACGCAUGAUGUAAAAAUUGGAACGGAAUUUUAUCCAACGUGUGAGUGUACAUGCAACAAACCAAAGUUGUUGCACCUGCCUUGCUCACAUGUGUUGGCUGCCUGUGGCCAGAUUGAGUUGGCUGCCAUCUCCUUUGUGUCGCCAUACUACUUAAAAGAGGUUGUACUGAACACAUGGACCGGUGAGAUGACAGGGUUUAGAGUCGUUGGCAAUUUCAACAAGGUUAACGACGGUGAGAGAGUAUACAUCCGGGAUCCAGAACUUCGGCGAACAAGCAGGGGUCGACGUAAGGCCCGUCGAAUCCGAAAUGAUAUGGACCAAUCUGAAGCUGGUGGAGCAACCAUACAAUGUUUGCUAUGCGCGGCUUAUGGGCAUAGGAUGAAAUAU
rnacentral:rRNA from 1 species